CCCUGGUUAACUCAGCUGGUAGAGCGCUCCACCUGUAAUGGAGAGGUCCCCAGUUCGAUACCCGGACCAGGCG
rnacentral:tRNA from 1 species